rnacentral:lncRNA from 1 species
UUCUACCUCUACCAGGAGCCUUCUUCCUUCCACAGCUUGACAGCUCUUAUUAUGCUUUUAGGCAUAGAAUCAACCCAUUGUGGCUCACUUUGAUCCGAACACGCCUUGUAGUGACUUGCGGGGCAGGGCUGAGAGACUCGGUACCGGGGAGUCGCGGGAGUCGGGAACACACUGCCGAGCCGCCACCUGCCCUCCUGCCUGCACAUUUCCUUUGAGCAGAGCCUUUGAGGGCUGCGAAGCUGGAGGAGUUAGGGUAAGACAGUGAGGGCAGCGCUUAGCUAGUUAGGAGGUGAGAAUCUCCGCCACGCCAGGGUGGGAAGAAAGGGUCAAGUCUGAGGUGAGGAUGGAGAUAGGUCCUAGGUAUAGAAGAGGGUUCCAGGUCUGGUGUGAGAGUGGAGAGAGGAUCAAGAUGGGAGACAGAGAUCAAGAUCUGAAGUGAUGAGAAGGAUUCAUGUCUUAGAAAGGCUGAGGGGAGGUCCUGGGAGGAUGUGUGGGUCUUCAGUGAUGGAUUGGUUAAGACUAGAAUUGGAAAAGGGACCCAGGUCUGAAGAGGGGUGGGAUUGAGGCUGGGGUGAGAGAGGGAUCUAGGUCGGAGGUGGGGUGGGAACGGGAGCACUAAGACUGGUGGAGUCCGCACUGGCGAACGGACAGGUCUUAGUUAGCUGGGUGUCGCAGCUCCGGGUGCAGGAAUGGAACCGAUGCUUUCCUCACGGAGCAGGCACCGCCCUAAGGAAGUCUCCCGCCGGCCCGGGUCCGCGACUGCGCUCGCGACAACAGGACCGGGUCACCAUCCUCCCGCCUGGCCUCAGCUCCCUGAUCCUUCUCCGAGCGAGCGACGGACCGGCCUCUGCCCACCACACGUUCCUUGUGAAAGCAGGCCGUGGGCGGUGCCCGGGCUUCAGCCUUCCCAGAAGCCGCUUUUCCUGGGGCUCUUGAGUUGAGGAGAGCACUCCCUGCCGUUUCCCCCAAAGCAGGUGAUUAUGAAGUCUUCAUCAAUCUGAAAGGGGGUUCAAGACUGCAGGAAAACUCUGUCUUUACGGAGAGACGAGCGGAGUCUGGUUCCCACUAAGUGUGGUAUUGUCGCUGGUCCCUCGCCAGUUCUGCUCUUCAUUCAUCUUCUUCAAUUCUCCCCCCAAAGGGCAACUCAAUUGUGGGCUAAAUAAAACUUUAAUUUACAUUAUUAUGGAAUCAAAGCUACUGUUCACGGUGUCCCUGUGUAGUAUAACGCAGCGGUAUUUCCUUUACCAGCCUUUUGUUUUUCCCGGGAUCAGUUAUUAUGAAAUGUGGUUUAUUAAGCUUUCUAUGUACUCAUGAUCCAUUAAUGUCCCCUCUAAUGCGCUGUCCGAACUGUAAAUAUUCACAAUGUCUUCCUAAUACGAUCGUGACUGCGGAACGGUUGAAUAGGAAGCCAAUUGCACAACUGUUGUUCUAGGGUUUCUCUUCACUGUCGUCCUGGGAUUUCAGCUCUUGUGUGAGUCCCUUGUGAUCUGGAUUCUGUAUUUAUUUUUCCUUUAGUUUGGUAGGGCACAUUCUCCAGUAACUUUCUGAAAAGGGGUAAGAUGAUAAAAAAAAAUUAAAGAUCUUAAUUGUCUCAAAAUUUCUUUGGUUGAUCACCUCACUUGAUUAAUGUGGUAAUUUGUCUGAUUAUAUGAUUCUUUUUGCUUGUUAGGUUUUGGUUUUUCAAGACAGGGUUUCUCUAUUUUUGAUAUUCUGAAAAGGCAGGAAGACAUGCCUUAAUGUGUGUCUUUUCAUUCAUUGAGCUGGGUAGCCCGGCUCAGUUUAGCUAGGUUUGGGUUUAGUUCUGGAAAUGUUUUUGUGUUGCUUAGUUUCCCUUCACAUUGUUCAUUCUGUUUCUGUUCCAGCUUCAUUUCUCUUGUUGUGAUAAAAACACUCAGACAAAAGCAACUCAGCGGAGACGGGAUCUGCUUUAGAUGGCAAUUUCAGGCUGCAUGCACAGUCCAUUAUUGUGGGGAAGUCAAGGUGGCAGGAACUUGAGAACAGCUAGUCUCAGGCAAGGGGGGGAGGGGCAGGAAAAAGGGAGAGAGAGAGAGAGAUGUAUGUAAGCUAACUUGCAUUCAACACCCUCUCUAAACUUACAUGGUCCUCAAACUCCUGGCCUAAGGAAUGGUACUACCCCCAGUGGCCUGGAUCUUCACAGAGAAUCAAGAUAAUCUCCCACAGGCCAACCUGAUCUAGACAGUCCCUCACUGCGACUCUUCCCAAGUGAUUCUAUAUUGAGUCAAAAUGACAAUUAAAAGUAAUUAUCACAGGCUGGUGAGAUGGCUCAGUGGGUAAGAGCACCCGACUGCUCUUCCGAAGGUUCAGAGUUCAAAUCCCAGCAACCACAUGGUGGCUCACAACCAUCCAUAACGAGAUCUGACUCCCUCUUCUGGAGUGUCUGAAGACAGCUACAGUGUACUUACAUAUAAUAAAUAAAUAAAUCUUUAAAAAAAAAUAAGGAACCAUCACAAUCUCAUCACACACACACUCCACUCACCUCUGCAUCUUGCAGCAGUAAAUCUCCAACCCAACUAUGCCCUGGCAAUGAUAACACAACUCAGUUUAUUUGAAUACAUGCUGUGAGCCUAGAUUGGGCAGAUCUACUGCCACACUAUUCUAUGAGACCCCUUAGAACUUGUGGUUUCUCCAGGCCAUGUGCUUCUGCUCCACUUUUCUUCUUCCUCCUCCUCUCCCUCUCCAUUUUCUCUAUCUUCUCUCCCCCUCAACCUUCCCCUCCACCUUCCCUUUUAUCUGCCCAAUCAUCAGCUCUCCUUUAUUUUACAAAUUAAGGUGGGGUGCAGGUUUGCAGGAAAUCCCCUGAGUGCUGACUCAUUCCUUGUUCACAGCCCCUCACAGGAAUUAACAUCAAAUAUGAUCAGCCCCAGGGCUGGCAACAGCAUCUCUGCUCUUUCUUUCUAAAUUCCAGGUAUUGGUAUCCUGGAAUGUCCAAAUCAUUCUCUUCCUUUCUUCUUUCCCCUCACACCCCUGGAUACAUUUAUUUUUUAAAUCCUUCUACUCUUCCAGAUCGAACCAUUUAUAUAGUACUUUAUACUAAUAUUUUCAACAAUGGUAUGUAUGCUAGUCAAUGCUCAGUCACCACCUGGCUCUUUUUGUUGUUAGAUUUUUAAAAAUUUGUUAAACCGGGCAGUGGUGGAGCACGCUUUUAAUCCCAGCACUUGGCAGGCAGAGGUGAAAGUAUAACAAAGUAAAAACAGAAUUCUAGGCCUUUAGGCCCAGGCUUGGGAAUGUGGCCUUUGUAAAGGUAUGCUAAUCAUAAAACAGAUAGGGACAUUCCUCUACCGACCCGCUUCCUGGGUUCAAAGAGUGUUCAUUCAAAGAAAGUCACCCUGACCAUUGCUGGAACCCGCUAUGCAAAUGUGCUUUUGUUAGGGGCUCUUAGAAACUGUUUUGAGAAAUAACCCUCACAAUUACCAGGUAUUCCUCGUGGUGACUCUUGUAACUUUGCACUUCCUUGUGACUCUUUCCCCCCCCCCCCCCCCCAGACAGGGUUUCUCUGUAUAGCCCUAGCUGUCCUGGAACUCACUUUGUUGACCAGGCUGACCUCGAACUCAGAAAUCCGCCUGCCUCUGCCUCCCGAGUGCUGGGAUUAAAGGCAUGCGCCACCACGCCCGGUUCCUUGUGACUCUUAACUGGUAUUUUUGGUAUUUUCCAACAACGCCCUUCCCACCUCCUUGAGUUGUGGUUUCUUCCUUUAAAUACCCCCUUACUCGGGGCACCACGGUCCUCUACCCCUGCGUGGUGUAUGACCAUGGGCCCUAGAGCGCUCUUGAAUAAAAAAAUCCUCUUGCAGUUUGCAGCGAGACCGUUUCUUGUGGGUGAUUUUGGGGUGUCGCCUCUCCUGAGUCAGAACGUGGGGGAGUCCUCAUGUUGUGGGUCUUUCAGAGGCAGGCAGAUUUCUGAGUUCCAGGCCAGCCUGGACUACAGAGUGAGUUCCAGGACAGCCUGGGAUACACAGAGAAACCCUGUCUCAAA